AUCAUUAAUUGGAUCAUUUUUUACAGAAGUGCAAUCAUGUGAGAGGUUUAGAGGGGAAAUGUCUCUUUAGUAGAGCUGACAGACUGAAACAAGAACUAGGCUUUCUUGUAAGAGGAAAUAAGCCAAACAUUUUCAGAUUCAGGAAGUAACCUGUUUUUGUGUAUCUGUAUCUUCCCCUGUUUGUGUGAUGGUUAUAGUUCAGUGAUUACUUUUUAGACUGUUUCUCCAAUAAUCUUGUAAAUAUUCCUCUGUCGAACAGCCGGUAGCUCACAUUAGUCGUCUCUCUCUCUCUCUAAUGAAUGAAAUUGACUGUCGCACACUGAAUUUGUUUAAAUUCUUUAAUGUGAUUCCUCAAAGUGUUUCCUAGGAGAGAUUGUACCGAUACUUCAUCAUCGCAUCAUGAGGCAGACUUUGUGAAGAGGAAAUCUUUUCUCCCCUCAGUGAGCAGGAAGUUGAUCUCUGUGGAGGUGGGCAUGGUUAACAUUCAUCUGCAGGUGGGAGAGUGCCUGGUGAGUUCAUUGUCUCAGCUGGUGCUUGUUGUCUAAUCACUGUCUCUUUUUAAAUGCAGUAGCACACUGGAUGGCACAUGUAGGGUUGAGGAGGAACUAGAGGGUGGAUGAACUGGCAAAGAGAUUAAAGAGAUCAUUAAAGAAAGGAAAAAUACAAAUGGAAAUGACAUGAAAAGGAAAACUGAGCAUGAUUCAGAGAGCACAGGUUUUGGGUCUUGUUGGGAAUCUAAAGGAGUUUUCUAUAUGGUAUGAUAGAUGAAUAGGAAUAGGUGGCUGAUAUGCAUAGCGGUUUUGGAAGGACUAGGGUACAGAGAAUAAAGCGUUAUUGUUGUCGGAUUCACACACCGGAGCAGAAGGUGGCAGUAAUGCACCAAUAAGCUUGAUGCCAACUGCUGUAAAACACCUCGGAUGGCUGCCACACACACGUAAAAGGGACUGAAGACACACCAGCGCGUCUGAAUUUGGUGCUUUGUUGGACUGCAAGAGUUAGAGUAGGUGGGAAAGUUAAGUAAGAAAUAAAUGAACUUUAUUUGUGACUAGACUGUGAUUUGUGAUUGUGUGCUGGGGGAAACCCACAGUGGUUGGUCAGUCCUCCAAACUGAAAUGUCUCAUCAUCUAUUGGACGGAUUGCCAUGACAUUUUG
rnacentral:lncRNA from 1 species